rnacentral:rRNA from 1 species
UUGAGAUUUGAUUAAUUUGGUUCUGGUUUUUUUAAUUAGGUAGGAUUGAGAUUUAUACAUGCUAAUUGAUUAGUAUUCUGGUGAGGGACUGUUCGGGUUUUUAAAUAGAUUAGUGAAAUAAAUAUUUAUGAAAAGGAUGGGGGGAUUAACUAUUUUUUUUGGAAGGAAAAUGUCUGUUAAAUAGCGUCACAUCUGCAGUAAUAAGUUCUUAACAAUGACCUAGGGGUUGAUUAGAUCAAGUGUCUUUUAGGAGCUGACUAAGAUAUCGUGCCAGCAGUCGCGGUUACACGAACAAGCUCUCUUAAUAUAGUAAGCGGCUUAAUGUAGGAAAGUUAAAGAUGGUUGUUUAGGGAGAAGUUAAAGGGAUUAAAGGUGAAAUUUUAUUCUUUUUUGAUGAAAUGAUGGUUGACUGAGAUUACGAAGAUUAAGGUGUAGACCUGGGUUAGAUAUCCAGUUAUUCUUAAAGGUGAAGCUUAUAAUGCCGGUGGAGUAUGAGGAACGAUUCUUGAGAAACAAAGGACUUGGCGGUUGUUUAUUUCUGAUUAGGGGAGCCUGCUUGACUAAAAUGAUAAUCCGCAAAAUACCUGACCUCCUUUUGAUGUUGGUCAGCCUCUAUAUCAUCGUCGUUAAAUUUUCAUUGUGAGUUUAGAAGGUUAAUAAGUUUAGGCUGUUGGACUGGAAGUCAGAUCGAGAUGGAGCUAAUAAGGGGGGGAGAGUGGGCUACAUUUACUUUUUAGUAAAGUUUGUUUGGAUCUUUUUUUGAAAAAUUAAAGGGAAAAAGGACUUAAUAGUAAUGGGACUAGGAUAAAGGUUUUGUGAAUUUAGCUCUAAGCUUCGUACACAUCGCCCGUCACCUGCGGGGUUAAACCUGGAGUAAGUCGUAACAUAGUAGGCGUACCGGAAGGUGUGGCCUAGAU